CCUUCCAGACUUUGCCUUGCAGCCAUCAGACAUACCAACUCUGGCCUCCCCACUGCAAAACCCAACUUGGAUACAGGGAGGAAGCAUUGCUGCCUGGCAUGGUCUGCUGCCUUGAUUCCUGCAGUCUGGUUUUACAGCCAGUCGCAGCAUUCCUUCAGAGAGCAUGCUUCAGGACAGCUUCUGGGUUUGUUGUGCACCAAGGCUCAUAUUGGACACCUCUGAGACAGGAGAGAGGCUGUGAGCAACAUUGAACAAGAUGAAAGCAAAGAAAUGGCUGCAGGCCCCUUCUCCACGUGGGCUCGAUUAGGUCUCCUUCUCCUUUCUUCUCCCUUAUUUCAGAGCUGUGGGGUUUGUGAUUUAGAGGCAGUGCUUCAGGAAGACCCACAGUCUCAUGUAUUUAUACAGUUUCUACCAUUCCUGAGGACAUCCUGGGGCAGAAAGUGGCACUUGAAUGCCAGAAGGCCUGCAUACCUCUGCUAGUCCAGGCUCCAGCACCUCUCUGCUGCCCAGAAGAUAUCAGCAUUUUGGGACUGAUGGGGAAAUUCACUGUUCACUGCUUUAAUGGAACUUUCUGAUAUGGCAUUAUAUCCAUUUGGUUGAUUUUUUCCUCUGCAGCUGAUAUUAGUUUUAUACAAAGAUUAUGGAGUGAGUGUUCCUAGACUGGAAGACAUGGGAUUACUCUGUACUUGGGUUUGUUUGAUCCUCAUUAAUUCCUUUCCCCAAAAACAGUGACAUCCUGAAGAAGAACUACUGCAAGUGUCUCAUUCUCUGCACAGGGGCAUAACUUCCCAGUGAGUUUGUUUUCUGCUUGCUAGCACUUACUAAUGCCUAAAAACAACUUCUGCAAGAGGAAAGCACGAGGCAGCAACUCUUUGCCCAUGCAAUUACAGUGAUUGUCUACACAAAUCAAGUGUUUUUGUAUGCAAAUGGCCAGUAAGCAUCUAGUGGAUGCAAUGGCUUGAAUUUCAAUUUGCAGUGAAUAGUCACAUAUGCAAACACGUGUAUAUUAAAAUGUGUAUAUAUUAAUAUCUUACAAUCAUCAACCUCCUUUUCAAAUAUUAUUUGGCUCACGUCAUUUAAAAACUCUUCAGUGUGCCAUAUGUAACCUCUUACAAGUGAAUAGUGAUUCUUCUAAAAGUAAUGAUGACUGUUAACUCCCAGUCACUGCAAUGCUUCCAGAUACGGUAGGAAGUGCAUUCCCAAUAAUUAGUAAUUAGCAGUAACUAUUUUAUGGAGCAGAAAAGAGUUGAUUACAGUUGUUUUAUCAGAUGGUAUAAUAAUAGGAAAAAAUCUUGUUUCAGAGAAAGGAGGAAAAGGGGUGAUUUCACAAAGUUGGCUCUCACUUGCCAGCCGUCCAUCACCGAAACUACAGCUUCAGGGAUCAGGAAUUAUUGAUUUCAAAGGGAUUAACUCUCAGCUACAGAUAGUUCAGUUUCAGGGCAUCAUUUGUAAGCUGAGCUGUAGCCAUAAACCAGCUGGCACUGGGGGCCUGAUCCAAAACUCACUCAAAUGACUCGGACAGCAAUUUCAGGGGGAUCUUUGGGUUAAUAAGUCCCCAGCUGGGAGGGCAGCUUGAGAGAAGUCUCCGUUCUCAGAGCAUCUGGCACAAGGGAGAGGCCCAUUUAAAGACAAUUUCUUCAAGGCACAAGAAAAGUGGUUUCUGAAAUGAGGAAGGGGCUUGUUUCAUCAAAGUGAGCUACGUGCACCCAGCUCACGUUAAUUCCUUCACAGCCUCUACUGCCUUUUGAGCUGGCAGAGGAAGAAGAGCAGGUAAACAUCAGGUCUGCUCACACCAGGCUCUCCCUUCUAACGCUUACUGAGUUAAUUAAUUUUUGCUCAAUUUGAUUUGACAUUCAGAUCUGUGAUAUGUUUAUCCUUCUAAUGGGCACUUCUCCCUUUUCCUCGCUGCCUCUCAAAGAUUUAAUAAAUGACGGAGAGUUUUGGGUGC
rnacentral:lncRNA from 7 species